rnacentral:tRNA from 1 species
GCCCAGGUAGCUCAGUCGGUAGAGCAGGGGAUUGAAAAUCCCCGUGUGGGCGGUUCGAUUCCGUCCCUGGGCA